rnacentral:rRNA from 1 species
UGGGGAAUAUUGCACAAUGGGGGAAACCCUGAUGCAGCGACGCCGCGUGAGCGAAGAAGGUUUUCGAAUCGUAAAGCUCUGUCCUAUGAGAAGAUAAUGACGGUAUCAUAGGAGGAAGCCCCGGCUAAAUACGUGCCAGCAGCCGCGGUAAUACGUAUGGGGCGAGCGUUGUCCGGAAUUAUUGGGCGUAAAGGGUACGUAGGUGGUUUUUUAAGUCAGGUGUCAAAGCGUGGAGCUUAACUCCAUUAAGCACUUGAAACUGAAAGACUUGAGUGAAGGAGAGGAAAGUGGAAUUCCUAGUGUAGCGGUGAAAUGCGUAGAUAUUAGGAGGAAUACCGGUGGCGAAGGCGACUUUCUGGACUUUUACUGACGCUCAGGUACGAAAGCGUGGGGAGCAAACAGG